UCGGGAAUUUUGGGCAAUGGGGGAAACCCUGACCCAGCAACGCCGCGUGAAGGAUGAAGUAUUUCGGUAUGUAAACUUCGAAAGAAUAGGAAGAAUAAAUGACGGUACUAUUUAUAAGGUCCGGCUAACUACGUGCCAGCAGCCGCGGUAAUACGUAGGGACCAAGCGUUGUUCGGAUUUACUGGGCGUAAAGGGCGCGUAGGCGGCAUGACAAGUCACUUGUGAAAUCUCUGGGCUUAACCCAGAACGGCCAAGUGAUACUGUCGCGCUAGAGUGCAGAAGGGGCAAUCGGAAUUCUUGGUGUAGCGGUGAAAUGCGUAGAUAUCAAGAGGAACACCUGAGGUGAAGACGGGUUGCUGGGCUGACACUGACGCUGAGGCGCGAAAGCGUGGGGAGCAAACGGGAUUAGAUACCCAAGUAGUCCCUGAGCGGGCUGGCAAGGCGCAU
rnacentral:rRNA from 1 species